UGCCGUCAAAAUUUUUUAAGAAAAAAUAAACUCUUUGUCAGGACAAAGUCCAACUGAUAGAAACAUUGCGUAUUACAAAAUUCGUGCCGAGACUUGUACCUUCAUAACAUCUAACAAUCAAAUAUGCCUCACACAAAUCAAAACUCUUUCCGUUUUAAGGAAGUCUUGUCAAUCGCUCAUGUCGUCAAAAUCUUCAAAACUAUUGACACCAUCAGCAUCUUCAUCGUCUGAUUCGUCUCCCUCUUCAUCUGUCUCCAUUGCUUCCUCUGCUCCUGCUCCUCCUUCUUCUUCAUCGCUGUCCUUGUCCUCAUAGAUCACAGGACCUUCAUCUUCUUCUUCUUCUUCAUCCAAGUCGUCCACAAUCGUAUAAAAAUUUCAUCAUUAAACAUUAAAAUCAUAUAAAAAUUUCAAAAUAACAAAAAUUCGGUACUUAAAUAUUAAAUAGUUUAACUAAAAUAAAAAUCAUAACAACGAGUCAUAACCAAUUGAAAAUUUCUAGCGUUUUCAGAAUAGAAACACGAGUUUCCAAAACAUAAACGCAAGUUUUCGCUAAGUUUCGAAACUGAGCUUUUUAAGUAACAAGUUUCAAAUGUGUUUCCGAGAGAUUCAGAAACAUGAAACGGACCUUCAACCGAGUUUCCAUGCAACAUAGAAUAAUACAUACAUUGGCAUGCAUUAAUCAUGUUUUUAUUUAUUAUUGAAAAGAGCAUGGAAUCUAAAUAUUGUGCUUGGACGGAGUGUAAGAGAUGUUGCCUAACAAUUGAAUCUGACUUUGUUAAUUUGGAGAAACAAGGAAGCAAGAUUCCAAAAAGCUAAAUAAAAUUGACUGUUGUACAUAAAAGGCAAGGGUUAUAGUUUUAUUAUAGUAUUAUUAUUGUCUUAUGUAUAUAUGCGAAAAUUGGAGAAGACGACGAGUGAUAAAGAGGAUAGAUAUAUAUUUAGUAUGGGUGUGUGAAAUGAACGUAGAAAGAGAGAUGAAACUAUAAUUCUU
rnacentral:lncRNA from 1 species